rnacentral:rRNA from 1 species
GACGAACGCUGGCGGCGUGCUUAACACAUGCAAGUCGAACGGAAAGGCCCUGCUUUUGUGGGGUGCUCGAGUGGCGAACGGGUGAGUAACACGUGAGUAACCUGCCCUUGACUUUGGGAUAACUUCAGGAAACUGGGGCUAAUACCGGAUAGGAGCUCCUGCUGCAUGGUGGGGGUUGGAAAGUUUCGGCGGUUGGGGAUGGACUCGCGGCCUAUCUGCUUGGUGGUGGGGUAGUGGCUUACCAAGGCUUUGACGGGUAGCGGGCCUGAGAGGGUGACCGGCCACGUUGGGACUGAGAUACGGCACAGACUCGUAUGGGAGGCAGCGGUGGGGAAUAGUGCACAAGGGGCGGAAGCCUGAUGCAGCAACGCCGCGUGCGGGAUGACGGCCUUCGGGUUGUAAACCGCUGUCGCCUGUGACGAAGCGUGAGUGACGGUAAUGGGUAAAGAAGCACCGGCUAACUACGUG